rnacentral:rRNA from 1 species
UACAGAGGGUGCGAGCGUUAAUCGGAAUCACUGGGCAUAAAGCGCACGUAGGUGGCGGCGUAAGUCGGGUGUGAAAUCCCUCGGCCUAACCGAGGAACUGCGCCCGAUACUGCGUUGCUUGAGGGUCAAAGGGGUGCAUGGAAUUCCCGGUGGAGCGGUGAAAUGCGUUGAUAUCGGGAGGAACGCCGGCGGCGAAAGCGGUGCACUGGUUGACUUCUGACACUCAUGUGCGAAAGCCAGGGGAGCAAACGGG